UGUGUGUUGGAGGAUGAAAGUACGGAGUGAUCCAUCGGCUAAGUGUCUUGUCACAAUGCUGACACUCAAACUGCUGACAGCACACG
rnacentral:snoRNA from 10 species